CAAUUUGAAUAUAUGGUUGGUCUGGCUAAUAGCAGCUGUGGCUACAUAACCAAUUUGAUGUUUGUCUGCUGACGGGGGAAUUGGCAUUGUCCAGGUUAUAGGGCUUCAUUGGUUUUAUCUAUCAAAUCGGCAGAGAUAGAUGAAUGACUUUGAGAGGAAUGCAAGAUUGUUUGUUGGAGAAACACAGAAUAUUUUUUAGCACUUCUUUAUAUUUUCUGCCACCAGCAAUCAAGAUCCCGGAGCUGAUCAUAUAUCAUUACCGUCACCUUAGCAGUCCACAUACAAAAGUUAACAGACUUGGUGUUAUGCUAGUAUAAUUUUAGACUUGACUAUUUGUUAAUGAUGGCGUCAUUACCGUUUUCAUUUUAGAGAGCUCAGCUUUCAGUCUCUCGUCUUUUUUUUUUCUUUAUUAAUUUUUAAAGAAAAUAUCUUACA